AUUGAACGCUGGCGGCAGGCCUAACACAUGCAAGUCGAACGGUAACAGGAAACAGCUUGCUGUUUCGCUGACGAGUGGCGGACGGGUGAGUAAUGUCUGGGAAACUGCCUGAUGGAGGGGGAUAACUACUGGAAACGGUAGCUAAUACCGCAUAACGUCGCAAGACCAAAGAGGGGGACCCUCGGGCCUCUUGCCAUCGGAUGUGCCCAGAUGGGAUUAGCUUGUUGGUGGGGUAACGGCUCACCAAGGCGACGAUCCCUAGCUGGUCUGAGAGGAUGACCAGCCACACUGGAACUGAGACACGGUCCAGACUCCUACGGGAGGCAGCAGUGGGGAAUAUUGCACAAUGGGCGCAAGCCCGAUGCAGCCAUGCCGCGUGUAUGAAGAAGGCCUUCGGGUUGUAAAGUACUUUCAGCGGGGAGGAAGGGAGUAAAGUUAAUACCUUUGCUCAUUGACGUUACCCGCAGAAGAAGCACCGGCUAACUCCGUG
rnacentral:rRNA from 1 species